rnacentral:lncRNA from 1 species
AUAAAUAUAGAAAUGUUGAAAAUAAUGUUUAUUUGUUUAUUUUUGAUUGUGCAUGUCAUUUAUUUGUACCUUAUUGUAGAUUGUUUGAAGUAUAUUAUUACCCUACAUUUCGUUUAUUAUAUCCUGUAUAUGAAAUGGUAAAUUCCAGUAAUAGAUAUAAAUAUAUACUUAAAAACAGUAUGAUAGACGAUAGACUGUAUGUAGGUAGUUUGUUAUUAGCAUAUGAAGAAGUUGAUAAAACUUCAAAUUUGAUUGACUUUGUAACAUUAGUAAAAACCAAACUAUGUGAUAAUAUAUAUUUUAAUGACACUUAUUUGCAGUCGUGUUCUAUCAAAUUAGAUGAUAAAACAGAAUUAAAAAGAUUGGAUAUUAUGUGGAGUAAAGAUAAAAUUAAAAAAGAAGAUGAACAUAUUGUUAUUGAAUCAGGAUUAACUACAACUAAAUGGCUAGACAUUACUAUUAGUAAAAAUUACAUAAAACAUGAUAUAAUAUUAGGAUUAAUAUUUACCUUAAAAAAUGGUAUAUCUUUAAAUGCAGAUGUACAGUAUGAAAAUAUUGAGUCUUAUAAAUUAAUGUUAAAAAUUGUUUCAAAAAUAUAUAAAGAUAUAAAAGAAGAUUUAAAAAAAAUUAUCGCUGUACUAGACAAUUUAAAUUAUCCAAUUAAAUAUAAUAAAUGGAUUGAAAUUGUUGAUUCAAUUAUUAAUAAUAAUUAUAUAAAUGAUACACAACUAAUAGAUUAUCUUCAUAAAAAUAAAUCUGUUAAAACUUUUAAUUUACAAUAUUGCCCCAAAGCAUCAAUUUUAUGUACUUUUUGGCUGCUUUAUCAUAAAAUAUCUAUUUAUUGUCUAAUAGAAGAUAAAUAUAAUUAUAACUACUAUGUAGAUGCAAUAACAAAUUAUACAAAAAAUUAUUUAAAUUGUAGGUCUUGUAUUAACCAUUUUAUGGAAGCACAACAAAUGUGUUAUUAUGGAUUCUGUAAUAUCCACUCAGCUGAAUCUGUAAUUAUUUAUUUAUGGAGAAUACAUAACGCUGUUAAUUUAAGAACAGCAUUUGACAGUAUUAUAUCUAGUGGACAAUUAAAAUCUUCCAUAUUUUCAAGAAAACAUCCUCUUUUAAAUAAAGAUGUAGCCUUCCCUUCAAAAUACCAAUGCAGACUUUGUAGACAUGCUAAAGGGUUUACAAAAAUAACAACAGAAGUUUUGUCUAUAUUGACGAGAUAUAAUAACUAUUCUGACCAAAUAUUUGAUGCAAUUGAUGCUUUUGAUGUUUUCCAAGUGUUGAAAUAUAUGAUGUAUAUAUAUUCUUAAUUAAUUAGUUAGCCAGUUUGUCUGUUAGUUUUUUUUUUAUCUUGCUAUACUUAGCAAUCUUUAUUACUGUUACAAGGGCAAACGAUGAACUAUAUACACACGUAAGU